AAUAAAAGCAACUAUUUGGCAUUGUUACAAUUAAUUAUUAAAAGAUGUAUAUUAAUUAACUUAGUAUCUAUUUUGUUUUAUUUUAUUUUGUCUGUCCUGUUUUAUUUUCUUAGACUUUGUGUGUGCUUAGGAACCAGUCCCAUACGUCUGAUUUCCAGUUUUAUCAUAGAACUAAUCUCAUUGUUGUCGGUGGGAUUACUGGAAUUGUACUAGAGAAAAUUCUAUGUCUUCCUUCCUCCACACAGUGAGAAAAUAUCAGGUUCAGGCUACGCUGGUUGUUUUCCAACAUUUCCAGUCAAAUAUUCAGACCUGCUUUACAAGCACUGGCCUGCUCCAAACCAACAGCCACCUUUUGUUUUUUUGGAAUUUGUAUUGACGGUUCAUAGAAAGCAAAAAACAUAUCAUGGAA